UACAGAGGUCCCAAGCGUUACUGAGAAUCACUGGGUUUAAAGGGUGCGUAGGUGGUCCGUUAAGUCAGUUGUGAAAUCUCCGGGCUCAACUCGGGAACUGCUUCUGAUACUGGCGGACUUGAGGCCAGUAGGGGUCACUAGAACUGACGGUGGAGCGGUGAAAUGCGUAGAUAUCGUCAGGAAUGCCGGUGGUGAAGACGGGUGACUGGGCUGGUUCUGACACUGAGGCACGAAAGCGUGGGGAGCGAACGGG
rnacentral:rRNA from 1 species